rnacentral:misc_RNA from 1 species
GCUACCGGAUGUCCCGAG